UAGGGAAUCUUCGGCAAUGGACGAAAGUCUGACCGAGCAACGCCGCGUGAGUGAAGAAGGUUUUCGGAUCGUAAAACUCUGUUGUUAGAGAAGAACAAGGACGUUAGUAACUGAACGUCCCCUGACGGUAUCUAACCAGAAAGCCACGGCUAACUACGUGCCAGCAGCCGCGGUAAUACGUAGGUGGCAAGCGUUGUCCGGAUUUAUUGGGCGUAAAGCGAGCGCAGGCGGUUUCUUAAGUCUGAUGUGAAAACCCCCGGCUCAACCGGGGAGGGUCAUUGGAAACUGGGAGACUUGAGUGCAGAAGAGGAGAGUGGAAUUCCAUGUGUAGCGGUGAAAUGCGUAGAUAUAUGGAGGAACACCAGUGGCGAAGGCGGCUCUCUGGUCUGUAACUGACGCUGAGGCUCGAAAGCGUGGGGAGCAAACAGG
rnacentral:rRNA from 1 species